rnacentral:rRNA from 1 species
AUGUAGGGUUGGUGACUGCCUUGAGUUUGAUCUUGGCUAGAAUCACGCUUGGCGGCGUUGCUAACACAUGCAAGUCGAACGCGAAAGGGGAGCAAUCCCUGAGUAGAGUGGCAAACGGGUGAGUAACACGUGGGUGACCUGCCUUCGAGUGGGGGAUAACGUCCCGAAAGGGACGCUAAUACCGCAUAACAUCCUGUCUUUAGACAGAUGGAGAUCAAAGCUGGGGAUCGCAAGACCUGGCGCUUGAAGAGGGGCCCGCGCCUGAUUAGCUAGUUGGUGAGGUAACGGCUCACCAAGGCAACGAUCAGUAUCCGGCCUGAGAGGGCGGACGGACACACUGGGACUGAGACACGGCCCAGACUCCUACGGGAGGCAGCAGUGGGGAAUUGUUCGCAAUGGGCGCAAGCCUGACGACGCAACGCCGCGUGGAGGACGAAGAUCUUCGGGUCGUAAACUCCUGUCGAGCGGGAAGAACGUUUCGUGGGUGAAUAACCCGCGGAAGUGACGGUACCGCUAAAGGAAGCCCCGGCUAACUCCGUGCCGGCAGCCGCGGUAAUACGGGGGGGGCAAGCGUUGUUCGGAAUUACUGGGCGUAAAGGGCUCGUAGGUGGCCAACUAAGUCAGACGUGAAAUCCCCAGGCUCAACUUGGGAACUGCGUCUGAUACUGGAUGGCUUGAAUUCGGGAGAGGGAUGCAGAAUUCCAGGUGUAGCGGUGAAAUGCGUAGAUAUCUGGAGGAAUACCGGUGGCGAAGGCGGCAUCCUGGACCGAGAUUGACACUGAUGAGCGAAAGCCAGGGGAGCAAACGGGAUUAGAUACCCCGGUAGUCCUGGCCCUAAACGAUGAAUGCUUGGUGUGACGGGUAUCGAUCCCUGUCGUGCCGAAGCUAACGCAUUAAGCAUUCCGCCUGGGGAGUACGGUCGCAAGGCUGAAACACAAAGGAAUUGACGGGGGCCCGCACAAGCGGUGGAGCAUGUGGUUUAAUUCGAAGCAACGCGCAGAACCUUACCAGCCCUUGACAUGGGGAGUGUGGGCCUGAGAGAUCGGGUCCUUCAGUUCGGCUGGCUCCCGCACAGGUGCUGCAUGGCUGUCGUCAGCUCGUGUCGUGAGAUGUUGGGUUAAGUCCCGCAACGAGCGCAACCCUCAUCUUCAGUUGCCAACGGGUUCGGCCGGGCACUCUGAAGAAACUGCCGGUGAUAAGCCGGAGGAAGGCGGGGAUGACGUCAAGUCCUCAUGGCCCUUACGGGCUGGGCUACACACGUGCUACAAUGGCGGUGACAGAGGGAGGCGAAGGCGCGAGCUGGAGCGAACCCCCAAAAGCCGUCUCAGUUCGGAUUGCACUCUGCAACUCGAGUGCAUGAAGUCAGAAUCGCUAGUAAUCGCGAUCAGCACGC